ensembl:lncRNA
GCGAAGUGCCGGCGGGGCGUCCUCCGGAGGGGGAGCGGCUCCGUGAAGGGAGGCGAUCCCGUGGGCUGGGGAGGAACGCGCGGGGAAACGCCGCGUCCGUCUUCGGGCAGCAGCGAGCGGAGCGGGAACGGAGCGCUCCGGUGUCGCCGCUCGGCCCCUUUCCGGCAACGGCCCCGAGCUGGGAGCCAGAGUCCUGAAAGCCCAGCAGCGCAGCAGCAGCCCUUGGCUUGUGGUUCCUCAGGGCAGCGGUACAGGUAUGGCACACAGCCUGCCCCAGGUUCAGCAGUUCUCCACCCUCCGUCACGUUGAAAUCAAU